GGCUUUUAUGCAACUUCAAAUUUGUAGGUGGCUUUUCAAAUCGGCCUUUUAAAUCCCAGGGCUCAACCAUGGACAAGCGGUGGGAACUACUAAAGUUGGAGUACGAUAGGAGCAGAGGGAAUUUGCCGUGAAGUAGUGAAAUGAUUAGAGAUAAAAAAGAACACCAACAGCGAAAUCACUCCGCUGGGCCGACACUGACAUUAAGAGACGAAAGCUAGGGAGCAAAUGGGAUUAGACACCCCAGUAGUCCCAGCCAUUUAGGGUGCUUUAUUUGCUCAAAAAAAGGCUUUG
rnacentral:ncRNA from 1 species